rnacentral:rRNA from 1 species
UACGAAGGGGGCUAGCGUUGCUCGGAAUCACUGGGCGUAAAGCGCACUAGGCGGAUUGCUAAGUCAGGGGUGAAAUCCUGGAGCUCAACUCCAGAACUGCCUUUGAUACUGGCGAUCUUGAGUCCGGGAGAGGUGAGUGGAACUGCGAGUGUAGAGGUGAAUUCGUAGAUAUUCGCAAGAACACCAGUGGCGAAGGCGGCUCACUGGCCCGGUACUGACGCUGAGGUAGCGAAAGCGUGGGGAGCAAACAGG